UAACCCAGAACACAAUUUAGCUAAUAGAUCUCAGACUUAAAGAGCGAUCUUUAGAGAAAUUAGAGAUGUGAGAAAAACUCUGAAUUGAACCUGAUAUACGUCUAUAUUUUUCUAGACUUAAGAAAAUGCAGUGUUUUAGAUUUGUGUUUAUUUCUCAUACCAAAGCCUUGAAGUUUUAUCCCAUCCCUCUUCAUUGUCUUUUAAAGCUCACAUCACAUGUUACUGUCAAUCAAUGAGACACCUUUGGACAAAAAAAUAUGGAUAAACAAACCCAAGAAGGAAGACGGACGCACAAUGUCAAUAUAAUCAAUGGAAAGGCACUAAACCAACCUCCAGGAUACAUGGUGCUAAAAAAAAACAUUAUCGCUGCUGCUAUAUGCUCUAACAUAAUUUAAGUAGAUUUUAGUAAGCAGGUCUCUAACCUGAAAUAAUAGAAAUACACAGAAUAAUAGAAAAUGAAAAAAGAAA